rnacentral:tRNA from 1 species
UUAAGUGCCUGAAUAAAAGGGUUAAUUUGAUAGAUUAAAUAAUGAUAAAUUGUU